rnacentral:rRNA from 1 species
UAGGGAAUCUUCCGCAAUGGGCGAAAGCCUGACUGAGCAACGCCGCGUGAUUGAUGAAGGUCUUCGGAUCGUAAAACUCUGUUAUUAGGGAAGAACAAAUGUGUAAGUAACUAUGCACGUCUUGACGGUACCUAAUCAGAAAGCCACGGCUAACUACGUGCCAGCAGCCGCGGUAAUACGUAGGUGGCAAGCGUUAUCCGGAAUUAUUGGGCGUAAAGCGCGCGUAGGCGGUUUUUUAAGUCUGAUGUGAAAGCCCACGGCUCAACCGUGGAGGGUCAUUGGAAACUGGAAAACUUGAGUGCAGAAGAGGAAAGUGGAAUUCCAUGUGUAGCGGUGAAAUGCGCAGAGAUAUGGAGGAACACCAGUGGCGAAGGCGACUUUCUGGUCUGUAACUGACGCUGAUGUGCGAAAGCGUGGGGAUCAAACAGG